GUGUCAGCCGCCGCGGUAAAACCAGCACCUCAAGUAGUCAGGAUGAUUAUUGGGCCUAAAGCAUCCGUAGCCGGCUCUGUAAGUUUUCGGUUAAAUCUGUACGCUCAACGUACAGGCUGCCGGGAGUACUGCAGAGCUAGGGAGUGGGAGAGGUAGACGGUACUCGGGAGGAAGUGGUAAAAUGCUUUGAUCUCUCGAUGACCACCUGUGGCGAAGGCGGUCUACCAGAACACGUCCGACGGUGAGGGAUGAAAGCUGGGGGAGCAAACCGGAUUAGAUACCCGGGUAGUCCCAGCUGUAAACUAUGCAAACUAAGUGAUGCAUUGGCUUGUGGCCAAUGCAGUAUUUCAGGGAAGCCGUUAAGUUUGCCGCCUGGGAAGUACGUACGCAAGUAUGAAACUUAAAGGAAUUGGCGGGGGAGCACCACAAGGGGUGAAGCCUGCGGUUUAAUUGGAGUCAACGCCAGAAAUCUUACCCGGAGAGACAGCAGAAUGAAGGUCAAGCUGAAGACUUUACCAGACAAGCUGAGAGGUGGUGCAUGGCCGUCGCCAGCUCGUGCCGUGAGAUGUCCUGUUAAGUCAGGUAACGAGCGAGAUCCCUGCCUCUAGUUGCCACCAUUACUCUCAGGAGUAGUGGGGCGAAUUAGCGGGAUCGCCGCAGUUAAUGCGGAGGAAGGAAGGGGCCACGGCAGGUCAGUAUGCCCCGAAACUCUGGGGCCACACGCGGGCUGCAAUGGUAAUGACAAUGGGUUCCAAAUCCGAAAGGAGGAGGUAAUCCCUAAACAUUACCACAGUUAUGACUGAGGGCUGCAACUCGCCCUCACGAAUAUGGAAUCCCUAGUAACUGCGUGUCAUUAUCGCGCGGUGAAUACGUCCCUGCUCCUUGCACACACCGCCCGUC
rnacentral:rRNA from 1 species